rnacentral:tRNA from 7 species
ACUUGUUUAGCUCAGUUGGUAGAGCUCUGUUAUGUACACAAAUCUUGUGGUCGUGGGUUCAAGUCCCAUGAUGGGCA